AGGACGAACGCUGGCGGCGUGCUUAACACAUGCAAGUCGAGCGGUAAGGCCCUUUCGGGGGUACACGAGCGGCGAACGGGUGAGUAACACGUGAGCAAUCUGCCCUUCACUUCGGGAUAAGCCUCGGAAACGGGGUCUAAUACCGGAUAUGACCGCGCUACGCAUGUGGUGUGGUGAAAGUCUGGCGGUGGAGGAUGAGCUCGCGGCCUAUCAGCUUGGUUGGUGGGUAAUGGCCUACAGGCUUCGACGGGUA
rnacentral:rRNA from 1 species